UACGGGGGGGGCAAGCGUUGUUCGGAAUUACUGGGCGUAAAGGGCUCGUAGGUGGCCAACUAAGUCAGACGUGAAAUCCCUCGGCUUAACCGGGGAACUGCGUCUGAUACUGGAUGGCUUGAGUUCGGUAGGGGACCACGGAAUUCCUGGUGUAGCGGUGAAAUGCGCAGAUAUCAGGAGGAACACCCGUGGCGAAGGCGGCUCUCUGGGACGGUACUGACGCUGAGACGCGGAAGCGUGGGGAGCGAACAGG
rnacentral:rRNA from 1 species